AUUGAACGCUGGCGGCAGGCCUAACACAUGCAAGUCGAGCUGAGCGUCGGACGGGGGAGUAAUGCCUAGGAAUCUGCCUGGUCGUUUUGGAUAACGUCCGGAAACGGGCGCUAAUACCGCAUACUAUCAGAUCAGCCUAGGUCGGAUUAGCUAGUUGGUGGGGUAAAGGCCUACCAAGGCGACGAUCCGUAACUGGUCUGAGAGGAUGAUCAGUCACACUGUAACUGAGACACGGUCCAGGCUCCUAAGGGAGGCAGCCGUGGGGAAGAUUGGACAAUGGGCGAAAGCCUGGUAUAGCCAUGCAGCGUGUGUGAAGAAGGUCUUCGGAUUGUAAAGCACUUUAAGUUGGGAGGCGUUACCAGCAGAAUAAGCACGGGCUAACUACGUGCCAGCAGCCGCGGUAAUAC
rnacentral:rRNA from 1 species